UGGGGAAUAUUGCACAAUGGGGGAAACCCGUGAUGCAGCGACGCCGCGUGGGUGAAGAAGUAUUUCGGUAUGUAAAGCCCUAUCAGCAGGGAAGAAAAUGACAGUACCUGACUAAGAAGCCCCGGCUAACUACGUGCCAGCAGCCGCGGUAAUACGUAGGGGGGCAAGCGUUAUCCGGAUUUAUUGGGUUUAAAGGGUGCGCAGGCGGGCGUCUAAGUCAGCGGUGAAAGUUCCCCGGCUCAACCGGGCCAGUGCCGAUGAUACUGGGGGUCUUGAAUGCGGUCGAGGCCGGCGGAAUGUGGCGUGUAGCGGUGAAAUGCAUAGAUAUGCCACAGAACACCGAUAGCGAAGGCAGCUGGCCGGGCCUGCAUUGACGCUGAGGCACGAAAGCGU
rnacentral:rRNA from 1 species